rnacentral:rRNA from 1 species
AUUGAACGCUGGCGGCAGGCCUAACACAUGCAAGUCGAGCGGAGCGGCGGUCGGGGGCGUAAUGCCUAGGAAUCUGCCUGGUAGUGGGGGAUAACGUCAGGUACCGGGCGCUAAUACCGCAUACACUUAGCUGAGCCUGGGUCGGAUUAGGUAGUUGGUGGGGUAAAGGCCUACAAAGGCGACGAUCCGUAACUGGUCUGAGAGGAUGAUGAGUCACACUGGAACUGAGACACGGCCCAGACUCCUACGGGAGGCAGCAGUAGGGAAUAUUGGGCAAUGGGCGAAAGCCUGAUCGAGCCAUGCCGCGUGAGUGAAGAAGGUUUUCGGAUUGUAAAGCUCUGUAGUUUGGGAAGCGGUACCUAACGAGAAAGCACCGGCUAACUACGUGCCAGCAGCCGCGGUAAUAC